AGCGCAGGUGGUUGUAUAAGUCUGAAGUAAAAGGCAGUGGCUCAACCAUUGUGUGCUUUGGAAACUGUACAACUUGAGUGCAGAAGGGGAGAGUGGAAUUCCAUGUGUAGCGGUGAAAUGCGUAGAUAUAUGGAGGAACACCGGUGGCGAAAGCGGCUCUCUGGUCUGUAACUGACACUGAGGCUCGAAAGGCCAGGGGAGCGAACG
rnacentral:rRNA from 1 species